CUAGUAAUCGCGGAUCAGCAUGCCGCGGUGAAUACGUUCCCGGGGCCUUGUACACACCGCCCGUCACNCCAUGGGAGCCGGUAAUACCCGAAGUCAGUAGUCCAACCUCGUGAGGACGCUGCCGAAGGUAGGAUUGGCGACUGGGGUGAAGUCGUAACAAGGUACC
rnacentral:rRNA from 1 species